GAGAAUUUCAACUGAAAGGAGAAAACCAUGAAAAUGGACAAAAUCUGGGGGAAUCCUUUGUUGGGAGGUGUUAGCUGGCCUUGAUUCUUUCUUGUCUGGAAUUCCUGUGUUUUUUAAAUGUUGUUCCUUAUUUCCUGUCCUAAUUCUGUCCUGAUUUUAGCCAGAUUUUGUUCGUUUUCAUGGUUUCCUCAUGAAUACCAUUUUCCUGCUUCUUGAAAGGUGGUUGGAUUGGAUCAGUGGUUCCCAAAGUUAUUUGGCCUGCCGCCCCCUUUCCAGAAAAAAUAUGACUCAGCACACCCUGGAAAGAGGGGAGUGGCUUAGAGGGGUGGGCGUGGCUCCUGCUCAAGAGGGCGGGACUGAGCCUCUCCCCUAGACCCAGAUUCAGUGCUGGGAGGGGGAGGGGGAGGUGGGCGGGGCCACAAAUGGGCGGCCAGGACUGGAAUGGGCGGAGUUACGAGUUCUGAGGCAGGGCUGAGCUUCUAUCCCUGUCUUGCGGUGCCUGCCAGGACACAGGGGGCAGGGCUAGAGGAGGGGGCGGGCCUCUUCCCAAGUGCCUGAUGGGGCUGAACCUCUAUACCCCACCCCUGUGUUCUAACAAGAGCCUCAGGAGAGGUAUAGAGGCUCAGCCCUGUCUCAUGCUCUUGGAAAGAGGCCACGCCCCCACCCCUAGCACCGCCCUUUAGUCCUAAAAGGCCUCUCAGGAGAGGUAUAGAGGCUCAGCCCUGUCUCAGGCUCUUGGAAGGAGGCCCCGCCCCCUUCCCUAGCUCCACCCUCUGUGUCCCAACAAGCGCCUCAGGAGAGGUAUAGAUGCUCAGCCCUGUCUCGGGCUGUUGGGAAGAAGCCACGCCCACUCCUCUAGCUCCACCCCCUGUGUCCUAACAGGUGCCUCAGGUGCUCAGCCCUGUCUCCGGCACUUGGGAAGAGGCCCCGCCCUUCCCCUGGCCCCGCCCCCGUAUCCUAAUAGGUGCCAUCACCGCCCCCCUGGAUCUCUGCAGCACCCACUAGGGGGCAGUAGUGCCCACUUUGGGAAUCACUGGACUGGAUGGCCCACGAGGUCUCUUCCAACUCUAUGAUUCUAUCAGUUGGAAGGGCUUGGGCUGUGUCUUCCUGCAUAGCAGAGGGUUGUACAGGAUGGUCCUGGGGGUCUCUUCCAAAUCUAGGAUUCUGUAACCACGUUUCUGAUAUGGGAGCCACCAUCCAUCAUAGAAGAGUGGCAUCAUGCUUCUCCUGCCCUGAUCUAGUUGGGGGCAAACUCCUUCACUCGCUUGCAUCCUGGUUCACUAUAUCUUGGUCCAAGAACUCCAUUGUAUCUUGUGUAGACAAAUUUAGCUCACACCAGCUGGUACAGUAUGUGAAUCCCCUAGAACCGCAUCCAAAGCAACCAAUGAGCCAAAUGCACAAGGCUGUUAAUAAUCAGAUCAUAAGCAUAAGUCACACAGUUCAUCAACGUGAAGCGACACGAGAUAAAACCAUCUUUCUCUGGUGCUCUCGAGUUCUCUCCGCAACAUGCUUUUUCUUUCGGAUACAUGUUCACAUUCCAAACAACCAAAAGAUAUAUAUAUAUAUAAAUAUAUAAAAUUCAGCAAGAGACAGAGGCAAUGUCAGAAACCAACAUGAGAUGAGAUGGUCGAGGCGGAUGGCAGGAGAGAGAACGAGAGACUGAGAGUGAUGAUGAAAAGAGAGAAAAAGAGAAAGAGAGAUGGAAGCAGGUUUCGGAGGAGGAGGAGAAGAACUUUGAAACUCAUUUGUUGAAAGAAACAUAAAACCAUACCUUGGCUGUUUAGCGUCAGGUGAGCCGGACCUUGAAGGGGAAGGAAAGGAAAAAAGAAAGAAAGAAAAAAGACGAGUCAUAUAAACGCACGGAAAAAAGGAGGGUUUUCCCCUCUAUGCCACAAUUUAAAAGCUUUUUUUAACUUGUGACAGACAUCCGGGUCCCCCAGCAGAUAGAGAGGGGAAGGGAGUUGAGGGUCGGAUGCCGAAACAAACAGAAAGGAGAGGAGAAGAAACUGAAAAUCCCGGACAGAGCCAGACAGAACCAAAACAAGAACAAGAGAGGGGAACAGGCUAGAACAGAAAAACAAAUUAAAGUUGGGUUUCUUUUACGGUUUAAAAAAAAAAAAGCAUUUUGGGCAAAUGGCCACAUUGCCCAGUGGGAGAAAAUGCUUUUUUUUUCAGGAGAAAAACAACAAAAAUGGGUGGGGGGUGGGUGGGAGAGAACUACACAAACCAAGCAGCCUUGAGGGGCGAGUGUUGUGUUUGCAGCCGUGAGCGAAAACAGCUCCAGGAAGGAAGAUUGUUAGUGGUGCGAAAAAAUGGUUUGCAGGACUCUCCUGGUGGAAUACUUUUUGGGAAGGUGUCAGUGUAGUAGGCCAGGGAGGGAGAGCCCAGCUGUCCAUGGGACCGGAGGAACAUUUCCACCCUUCCCAUCAAACCAACCAACAUCUCUCACCCACGAACCAGCAAUGAUAAUACAUUCUGGAUGAACACCAUGUUAUAUCCCUUUACCACAGAAAUAUUGUGUAAGCCCCAAAAACUGACCUACCACCACCUUGGAUGGGGGAUUGUACAGCCAGAGCCAUCGGGUAGGAGACUUGGGAUCAAUAAGAACGCGGAAAUUUGGUGUGCCCAAAGCCAGUUUCUCAGUCCAUCAAUUUCAGUGCUGUGACAGAGGUCUCCCAUGGGCUUUAUUGUGAAAUUCCAAGACCUUUUGCAUGCUAGACAUUUGUAACUGCCACUCAACUAGAACUUUACUCCCACCCAUAAAAAAGCUGGUUUGAAUUGGAGCAGAGAAACUGGCAGUCGGGUUCUCCACGGUAUCAGGUAAGCCAAACCUAGAGAUGUCAGGCAUCAAACCUGGGAACUUGUAUAUGCAAAGCAGAUAUUCUGGACUGAGAUGCAUCUCCUAAUUUAUAGCAGCACAUUAACAUGCUUUAUUUGACCUGUUCGGCAGUAAUGGUGUAAGUGCCAUUGAUCACAUGUAAGUGCAAUUGACCACAUCCCUUUAUUGUGCACCACCACUACCAGUUUGAAGCCCAGGAGAACAAUUCCCAAAUAGAAAAUGACAUUGACCCUCCCUGUUGAAAAAUGGCCUCUCAUGAACCUGAAAUGACCUAGAAGGUGCUCAAAAUAUAGCCCAAUUCACCACCAAUUCCACUACGUUAUGUUGUAGGCAAGCGUCAACCUGAAUGUGGCCUCCAACCACCAAUCCUUGACCACUUUGAUCUUUCCUAGCUCUUCUUGGAGCUCUGUGAUCUUGGCCUCGGGAUCUCAUGAUUGCUCUACAAUGGAGCUAGGUCUAACUCCCCACUACCCAAAUAGAAAAUGACAUUGACUCUCCCUAUUGACAAAUGGUUUCUCUUGGACCUAAAAUGACCUAGAAGGUGCUCAAAAUAUAGCCCAAUUCACCACCAAGUCCACUAUGUUAUGUUGUAGGCAAGCGUCAACCUGAAUGUGGUCUCCAACCACCAAUCCUUGACCACUUUGAUCUUUCCUAGCUCUUCUUGGAGCUCUCUGAAGUGAAACCUGGGAUCUUGGCCUCAAAAUAUAGCCCAAUUCACCACCAAGUCCACUAUGUUAUGUUGGAAGCAAGCGUCAAUCUGAAUGUGGCCUCCAACCACCAAUCCUUGACCACUUUGAUGUUUCCUAACUCUUCUUGGAGCUGUGUGAUCUUGGCCUCGGGAUCUCAUGAUUGCUCUACAAUGGAGCUAGGUCCAACUCCCCACUACCCAAAUAGAAAAUGACAUUGACCCUCCCUAUUGACAAAUGGCCUUUCAUGGGCCUAAAAUGACCUAGAAGGUGCUCAAAAUAUAGCCCAAUUCACCACCAUGUUAUGUUGGAGGCAAGCGUCAACCUGAAUGUGGCCUCCAACCACCAAUCCUUGACCACUUUGAUCUUUCCUAGCUCUUCUUGGAGCUCUCUGAAGUGAAACCUGGAAUCUUGACCUCAAAAUAUAGCCCAAUUCACCACCAUGUCCACUAUGUUGGAGGCAAGCAUCAACCUGAAUGUGGCCUCCAACCACCAAUCCUUGAGCACUUUGAUCUUUCCUAGCUCUUCUUGGAGUUCUCUGAAGUGAAACCUGGGAUCUUGGCCUCAAAAUAUAGCCCAAUUCACCACCAUGUCCACUAUGUUAUGUUGGAAGUGAGCAUCAACCUGAAUGUGGCCUCCAACCACCAAUCCUUGACCACUUUGAUCUUUCCUAGCUCUUCUUGGAGCUCUGUGAUCUUGGCCUCGGGAUCUCAUGAUUGUUCUACAAUGGAGCUAGGUCUAAUUCCCCACUUCCCUAAAAGAAAAGAAAAAGAUCCCCAUACUCAUCAAUCCGAACAAAGAGUAGACAUUUUGCAAGCAAAGUACAUACUACAUCCUUUGGCUACCACAAAAUAGAUGAGCACGUCUUGAGUGGUUGCGUCAUGCUAAUGUUCAUCUUCCUCUAUUAUUCUGCAUUAGUCACAAGACAACAUCAGAUCACAAACACAUUUUGCAUCACUUAAUUCCAUGCUCACCUCCUCCAUUCCUAUUCUUGAACGAUUCGAAUACAUUAGAAUUCUUACUUUAUUGCCAUGGGGAACCCAUUACUUGAAAAUGCGGGAUAUGAAUUUAAUCAGUAAAUAAAGUAAAUAAAUAAGCAUGCGUUGACACGCUAUGGAUGUUUCUCAAAUACAAGACAGACAGCGAGGUUAACACUGGCCACUCAUCUGGUCACCUGUGGUGAGUAAGCCUUCGCCUCCGGGCGAAUGUCUUCCAGUGACUAAUACUGAUAUAUGCGCAGAAGGACACAUAUUAUCGUGAGCUGGUAAUUUCUGAAGAUUUCUUUGCAAGACUAGACUGAAGGUUGCUAAAGGGCAAACAGUUAUGGUCAGACUUUGUCUAGCAAUCUCAUUUUGUUCACUGGCAUUGAUACAGCAAAGUGCCGAGUUCGAUUUGCACCAGUCUGCGCACCCAUGCCCAGGAACUCGUUAUUUCAGGCCCAUUGGUUGUGGGUUCAAUGGUUGCGUUAUACUCUGUUAUCAUGUUAAUUUUAUUCUGUUUUAUGUAUCACAGUGUGUUAUUUUAAUUACCGUAUAUACUCGAGUAUAAGCCGACCCGAAUAUAAGCCAAGGCACCUAAUUUGACCACAAAAAACAGGGAUAACUUGUUGACUCGAGUAUAAGCCAAAGGUGGGAAAUGCAGCAGCUAAUAAUACAUUUCAAAAUAAAAAUAGAUACCAAUAAAAUUACAUUACCGUAUAUACUCGAGUAUAAGCCGAGACAGCUAAUUUUACCACAAAAAAACUGGGAUAACUUAUUGACUCGAGUAUAAGCCAAAGGUGGGAAAUGCAACAGCUAAUAAUAAAUUUCAAAAUAAAAAUAGAUACCAAUAAAAUUACAUUACUGUAUAUACUCGAGUAUAAGCCGACCCGAAUAUAAGCUGAGGCACCUAAUUUGACCACAAAAAACUGAGAUAACUUAUUGACUUGAGUGUAAGCCAAAGGUGGGAAAUGCAGCUGCUAAUAAUAAAUUUCAAAAUAAAAAUAGAUACCAAUAAAAUUACAUUAAUUGAAGCAUCAGUAGGUUAAAUGUUUUUGAAUAUUUAACGUAUUUCAAAUAAAAACAAUAAACUAGCUCUGUAAGUGGAAACGUAAGAUCAACAAAAACAAUAUGGUAUCAACAAUAAUUUUAUACUACUACUACUACUACUAAUAAUAAUAAUAAUAAUAAUAAUUCAUUUGUAUCCCACCCUAUCUCCCAUGGGGACUCAGGCCGGCUUCCAACAUAGUAACAGGCAAACAUUCAAUGCCUAUAUAAACAAUGCAGAGCUAGAUAUACAUCUAUAAUUAUAUAUACAGUAGAGUCUCACUUAUCCAACACUAGCUUAUCCAACGUUCUGGAUUAUCCAACGCAUUUUUGUAGUCAAUGUUUUCAAUACAUCGUGAUAUUUUGGUGCUAAAUUUGUAAAUACAGUAAUUACUACAUAGUAUUACUGCAUAUUGAACUACUUUUUCUUUCAAAUUUGUUGUAUAACAUGAUGUUUUGGUGCUUAAUUUGUAAAAUCAUAACCUAAUGUGAUGUUCAAUAGGCUUUUCCUUAAUCCCUCCUUAUUAUCCAACAUAUUCACUUAUCCAGCAUUCUGCUGGCCCGUUUAUGUUGGAUAAGUGAGACUACUGUAAUUCAUUUGUAUCCCACCCUAUCUCCCAUGGGGACUCAGGCCGGCUUCCAACAUAGUAACAGGCAAACAUUCAAUGCCUAUAUAAACAAUGCAGAGCUAGAUAUACAUCUAUAAUUAUAUAUACUAAUUUCACAUAUGCAUUUAAUGAUUUAAUCAGAGUUGAACAGUCAUAUCUUAAAUUACAGUUUGAUGUAAAGAUUCAAAAACAUGUAAACUACUGAUUCCUCAAUUAAUGUAAUUUUAUUGGUAUCUCGGCUUAUACUGGAGUCAAUGUUUUCCCAGUUUUUUUUCUGGUAAAAUUAGGUGCCUCGGCUUAUAUUCGGGUCGGCUUAUACUCGAGUAUAUAUGGUAUUAUAUAUUAUUAUAUUGUUAUAGUGACACAGGAGACAUGGUGGAAUGAUGUCUUCCUGUCUGCUUCUUCAUUCUGGCUCAGAGCUCCUUUGACGCAUCAGGAAUUGGUCUUUGGAGUGUUUUCAAAGCCGGAGGUCCCAUGUUAAAGUCUUCCUGAUUUCCAUGUCUGCUAAGACCACCUACCCAUUCAUUACCUCCCAGUACAGUCUUGAUAUAUAAAACAGGAUCCCGAGGACUAGGAGGAGGAUAAGCAAUAUGGGGCCACAUACUUCGCUCCUGCUUCUUAAAGGGUGCAGUUGAUAUCAGAUCAAAAUGCCAUUACUAUUCCUUUUGCACCAGCCCUUCUGUCACCAUUCAUCAUCGCGUCAGCUUUCGACCUGGCACUGGCAGCUGUUUCCGAAAAAGGACCCAAUUUCAUGCAAAUGAGGGCUUUGCACUCCCUUCUUGAAUGUGCAAACACACAUGCUCUCUCUAUCACACACUCACACACACACCCACAGCAAUCAAUCUGUCAAGUGGCCACAGCUUAUGCGCCCAUUCCAUACUCACUGGUGCAAAGCACACAGACUGAUAGAAUGCCUGAUGUUCUCCCAAAAAGAAAGAAUACAGUGUUCCCUCACUUAUCGAUGGGUUUAGGUUCCAGGUUCAAAUCCAGAGAGCGGAGUGAGCGCCUGCUGUUAAGCUCCAGCUUCUGCCAACCUAGUCGAAAACAUGCCAACGUGAGUAGAUCAAUAGGUACCGCUCCGGUGGGAAGGUAAUGGCACUCCAUGCAAUCAUGCCAAUGGCCACAUGACCUUGGAGGUGUCUACGGACAAUGCCAACUCUUCGGCUUAGAAAUGGAGAUGAGCACCAACCCCCAGAGUCGGACACGACUGGACUUAACGUCAGGGGAAACCUUUACCUUUUUACCUUACAUUAUUUUAAAAAUAAAUAUAGUGUCCCUACUUCGCGGAUUGUCACUUAUUGCGGAAAAUAUAUUUUAAUACUGUAUUUAUACAUUAUUUUAAGGGGCCCCUGGUGGCACAGUGCGUUAAAGCGCUGAGCUGCUGAACUUGCAAACUGAAAGGUCCCAGGUUCAAAUCCGGGGAGUGGAGUGAGCAUCCGCUGUUAAGCUCCAGCUUCUGCCAACCUAGCAGUUCGAAAACAUGCCAAUGUGAGUAGAUCAAUAGGUACCGCUCCAGCGGGAAGAUAACGGCGUUCCAUGCAGUCAUGUCAGCCACAUGACCUUGGAGGUGUCUACGGACAACGCCGGCUCUUUGGCUUAGAAAUGGAGAUGAGCACCAACCCCCAGAGUCAGACACGACUGGACUUAACGUCAGGGGAAACCUUUACCUUUACCUUAUACAUGGAAAAGUUGGAAGGAGCUAGCCAUGUUCUGCUCCAUGAAGAGGACUGAGAAGGGACAUGGGAUCAUUCUUUAAAUAGCUCAUAGGCUGUCACAGAGGGUAGCACCAGGCUUGUAGUUAUAGGAGAGUAGAUUUUGAUUGAACAUUUGAAGGAACUUUUUGACAGUAGGUGUGGUUCAGCAGUGGAACCAAUUUCCUAAGGAGGUGAACUUUUUCAAAAGACCUUGGACAGUUCCCUGUUGUGGAUACUUUGGCUGGAAAUCCUGCCUUGAGCAAGGAGGCUGCACUCGCGCCCAUGAGCUCUGUUACAACUCUGUCAUUCUGAGAUUUUAAGCUGUCUUACACUGCAGUGGACCACUUGCCUGUCUUGCUCAGUAUUCUGUGCAUCGGCCAGCAGUGAUUCUCCAGAGUUUCUUGACAGAAAUCUUUCUCAGCCCAGCCUUUCUCAGCGUCUGCAUGCAAAGGAGUUGCCCUCCCACUGAGUUGCAACCUGUUUGCAGCCAUUCCUGCGCUUCUUUCUUCCGCAAUCAGAUAGGGGGUAAUGGGACUGUAGGACAACCAAGAUCUCUAUAAAUCUCAAUUGAAUCAGUGAGGUCUUAUGCUCGACAGCAUCCGGCUCACCCAGUUCUUGCCAGGUGGAGCCUGCACCUGCCUUAGGAUCCUAUAUCUUCCUGGAAUUUCAUUUCGCUGCUCCCAAUCUGCUUUUCGAUGAGGAGUUCAUCCAGGAAUGCAUAUAGAUAAAUCCCCGGUGACUUGCAGUGUUUUUAUGCUAUACAGUUCUGUGGAACUACCGUAUAUACUCGAAGAUAAGCCGAGUUUUUCAGCCCUUUUUAUUUUAGCUGAAAAAGCCUCCCUUGGCUUAUAAUGGGGUCAAGAUCAACAGAACCUGGAGGACAUUGCUUGCAAUAUAUGAUAUAUAUGUAUCUCUCUUAUCCUCCCUUAGCAGUGUUUAGUUUUCCAAAGCCUCCCUCGCUCUUAACCAAGGGAAUGUUUUGAAAAGGUAGAGAAGCCCUUGCAAGUCAGGAAGAAGAAAAUAUAUAUCCAUUAAUCUUAUAAAAGCAUUUUCCCCUGAAAUAUUGGUUAAACUCUCCUACAGAUAGGCAUUAACCCCCCUGCAUGCAUUUGCAAUCCCUAUGUAUUUAUAUACCUGUAUCUAUCUAGCUAUAUACAUUAAUUUUAUAUAUGAAUUUUCCCCUCAUAUCUUUGCAGGUCUUUGCAAAUCCUAUAUACAUAUAGAUCCAUGUAUCUGUAUAUCUGUAUCUGUAUAUAUACAUUAUUUAACCCACUGAUGCCUUGAUUAAUGUAAUUUUAUUGGUAUCUAUUUUUAUUUUGAAAUUGACGAGUAGCUGCUUCAUUUCCCACCCUCGGCUUAUACUCGAGAAUAUACGGUAAGUAUUUUGGCUUUAUCUUACAGAACCCUCACAUUUGUAGUUUGGUGAGCAGCUUAAAGUUUUACAUAGAUGAGCAUUAGAGCUCCCUAGUAAAGAAUUCGUGACCAAACUACAAAUCCAAAGCUUCCUUAGAUUUAUGCAUUGGCAGUGAAAAUAGUAUGAAACUGUUGUAACUGUCUAGUGUAGGUGUACUCUAAGGAGCCCCAAAUAGAUGACUUGUGAGUAGAUUCUAGUAGUGGGUGGCAUGUGUAAAAAUUUGCUAGCAUAGUGAUGGGCUUUUGAGAAGGAGAUGCUGGAAAUGGUGCGUGUAUGGUACGAGGGUUAUCCAGAAAGUAGAUUACGUUUUGGAAUUAAAAAUGAACAAAGUAUAGGAGAAAACAUUUACCAUAUGCAGUUGAAAGCCAUACCCAAAUACCACUUCUCAACAUAGUCCCCAUUGAAAUCUAGGCACUUAUCAUAGCGAUGAAGGAGCUUGGCAACUCCUUCCCAACAAAACUCUGCUGCUUGCGCCCUCAAAAAGUAUAGGAGAAAACAUUUACCAUAUGCAGUUGAAAGCCACACCCAAAUACCACUUCUCAACAUAGUCGCCAUUCAAAUCUAGGCACUUAUCAUAGCGAAGAAUGAGCCUGGCAACUCCUUCCCCACAAAACUCUGCCGCUUGCGUCCUCAACCAGCCGGUCACCCCUUUUCGCAGUUGCGCAGCGUCGCCAAAACGCUGCAUUGUCAGCCACCCUCCCCAUUGUUGGAAUGAGGAUGAAGAAACAACUCCCACCCAAAGACUCCAAAAGAUCCCCACACGGAGGGUCGCACACGUGAAGUUCUGGAGUCUUUUGGGUGAGAGUUGUUAGCCCCAGCUUCUACCAACCUAGCAGUUUGAAAACAUGCAAAUGUGAGUAGAUAAAUAGGUACCACUCCGGCGGGAAGGUAAUAAUGCUCCAUGCAGUCAUGCCACUGGCCUCAUGACCUUGGAGGUGUCUAUGGACAACGUCGGCUCUUCGGCUUAGAAAUGGAGAUGAGCACCAACCCCCAGGUCGGACACGACUGGACUUAAUGUCACCGGCAUUUUCCUGGCAUUUCCUUAUGGGUGCCUAAAUACCUCCCAGUAUUUAUCUAUUCACAUUUUUCUUUUGAACCACUAGGUAGGUGAAAGCUGGGCUAAAGGCUAGGAUCUCACCCUGACUCAAGCUUCGAACUGUCAACCUUUCGACUAAUAAACCAACAUUUCAGCUGGUAGUUUAACCUGCUGUGCUAAAGCCUGGCCCCAAAGAUAACUGCUCAAGACUGUGUGGAAGGGGCUGGUCCUGAAGCAUUUCUGGAACUGGUUGUAAUAUGAUUUUAUUUAUUUAUUUACAGCAUUUAUAUUCCGCCCUUCUUUCUCACCCCGAAGGGGACUCAGGGCAGAUCACAUUGCACACAUAAAGGCAAACAUUCAAUGCCAUAACAUAGAACCGAGGCAAAGACAGACACAGGCUCCGAGCUGGCCUCGAACUCAUGACCUCUUGGUCAGAGUGAUUUGUUGCAGCUGGCUGCUAACUAGCCUGCACCACAGCCCGGCCCAAUGCACAGGUAUGCAUGAGAAGUACUACAGUUGAUAAUGAAAGGCAUGGCAGGGGAUUAGACCACACAGCCCAACUCUGCGAUUCUACGAUUCUGCAUGCAAGGCAGCUGCUAUGGAAAGAUGCAUAUUGCAUGCACUUGAAGGUGUGAAAUGAUGAAACGUGAAGGAAGUCACGACAUCAAGAGCAAGUCAAAGUCAAAGCCACAGCGCAAGGCACAGAAUCUUAUCUCGCCGGCACAGAUACUGCCUGUUGUGUUCCCCUACCAAUACCACUUGCUACGCAGGAGAGCUGGAAGGCACAGGACCAGUGAGCAAAGUGUGAGCAUACACACAUACACACACACACACACACACACAGAAGGCAGACUCAUUGGUAAUAGUGUGCGCACACAACCAAUACAGCAUUCCUAAUUGGCGCAUGGUGUAAAGUGGCAACUCAUUGCCAAAGGAGGUAUUCUCCAGGGAGCAUCCCAAAACAAUAUUGGAACUACAGUAGAGUCUCACUUAUCCAAGCUAAACGGGCCGGCAGAAGCUUGGAUAACCGAAUAUCUUGGAUAAUAUGUAGGGAUUAAGGAAAAGCCUAUUAAACAUCAAAUUAGGUUAUGAUUUUACAAAUUAAGCACCAAAACAUCAGGUUAUAUAACAAAUUUGAGAGAAAAAGUAGUUCAAUACGCAGUCAUGUUAUGUUGUAAUUACUGUAUUUACGAAUUUAGCACCAAAAUAUCAUGAUAUAUUGAAAACAUUGACUACAAAAAUGGCUUGGAUAAUCCAGAAGCUUGGAUAAGCGAGGCUUGGAUAAGUGAGACUCUACUGUAUUUUGGCAGUCUUUAAUUUCCUAUGGCAACUGGUGGCUCCUGCGUCUGAGGAAGUGUAGAAUCUGCUCUGGUUUUCAGUCUGAAUGUUAAUGCAGCUACGUAUAUCCAAGGUGCUUCACAAAAUAGUAUCUGCAUUUUGAACGAAUCAUUGAAGUUGGACUAGAGCUCCAUUUCACUAGUAUGGAAGCUGCCAGAUGUCACUGAUAAGUUUCUAAAGCAAAAACAAGAGGAGUUCAUGUAAAACUUCUCUAUUGCGAAGUCAUUUCCUCAUAAUAGCCCUUACGUGUAGCUUAGUCAUGACUUCGUACCUUCUGUCCUCCUUUCUUCCUUUUUUACUUCCUUGAGUUAAAUUAUGUUGACGAUCGUGCCAUCGCCGCUCAGGCAGGGAGCUUUGAAAUGGUUGAACAGAAGUUCUCUGAAGCUCUAGGUGAUCUUACUGCCUAUUACAGAGAAAGCCAGCUGAUUCCUAAUCCAUCACUAUGCUGACGAUUGUGUCAUCACUGCUCAAGCAGGAAGAUUUGAAAGGGUUGAACAGAAGCUCUCUGAAGCUUUAGGUGCUCUUACUGCCUAUUACAGGGAAAACUAGCUGAUUCCUAAUCCAUCACUGCUCAGAGAGCUUUGAAAUGGUUGGACAGAAACUCUCUGAAGCUCUAGGUGAUCUUACUGCCUAUUACAGGGAAAACUAGCUGAUUCCUAAUCCAUCACUAUACUGACAAUCGUGCCAUCACUGCUCAGGGAGCUUUGAAAUGGUUGAACAGAAGCUCUCUGAAGCUUUAGGUGCUCUUAUUGCCUAUUACAGGGAAAACCAGCUGAUUCCUAAUCCAUGCACACAUGUGCUUUUCACCUUAAGAAUAGACAAGCAUCUCGAGCACCAAGGAUCACCUUGGAAGGAAUCCCAAUGUAUUAAGGGAAGCAAGAAGGAAAAAGUUACAAAAAUGGUACAGAACUCCUUCACAACUUUCACGUUUUUUACCAGGGAUGAAGGAUAAGUGUUGGCACGGUCGUGAACAAAGAGGGGUGUUUAUAUCAUAUGAUAUGGGAGUGCGAUCAAGUGCAAGAAUAUUGGAGAAUGGUUGAAGGAGAAAUCAAUAGAAUGCUAAAUCUACAAAUAGUAAUACAGUAGUCUCAUUUAUCCAACAUAAACGGGCCGGCAGAACAUUGGAUAAGUGAAUAUGUUGGAUAAUAAGGAGGGAUUAAGGAAAAGCCUAUUAAAUAUCAAAUUAGGUCAUGAUUUUACAAAUUAAGCACCAAAACAUCAUGUUACACAACAAGUUUGACAGAAAAGUAGUUCAAUACGCAGUAAUGCUAUGUAGUAAUUACUGUAUUCACGAAUUUAGCACCAAAAUAUCACGAUGUAUUGAAAACAUUGACUACAAAAAUGUGUUGGAUAAUCCAGAACGUUGGAUAAGUGAGUGAUUUUCCAUGGCCAAGUAGAGAUCCGAACCUUGCUCUCCAAAUCCUAAUGUGGUGACUCUUUAUUCUCCCAGCAAACCUACUGGGUUUGUUAGCCGGGGAAGGUGUGACUCUCCCACGGUUCCCUAAAUAUUAUUUGGGAACCAGCCCACAGAUAUGCCAAAUCCCUGCCUGAACUCUAGCAACUACAUACUGUCUCUUGGUACGGAAAUAUAUGUGGUUUCUUUCGUUCUUGACAAGUGUUCUCACCCAUGUGUUUAUUCAGACUCUGAUUGCAGCUAUUAUCAACAAAAAAGCAAAUAUUGAUACAAUGUUCUGAUAUGACAAAGCAGCACAGCAAUGUUUGAAAAAUGGGAAUAAACAACUAGUAAAAUGUUGUAAGCUUUCAUGGCCGGGAUCACUGGGUUGCUGUGAAUUUUCCGGGCUGCGUGGCCAUGUUUCAGAAGCAUUCUCUCCUGACGAAAAUGCCUACAUCUAUGGCAUCAUCAGAGGUCAUGAGGUCUGUUGUGGGGUUUAUAACAGGGCACUUGAUGAACCAACCUGGACACACCAUAUUAUUUGAGAACACAGAAAUGAUGGACCACUCUAACAACCAGAAGCAUUCUCUCCUGACGUUUCACCCACGUCUAUGGCAGGCAUCCUCGGAGGUUGUGAGGUCUGUUGGAAACUAGGCAAGUGGGGUUUAUAGCAUCACAUUUGAUGAAACAACCUGGACACAGCAUAUUAUUUGAGAACACAUAAAUGGUGGACCACUGUAACAACCAGAAGCAUUCUCUCCUGACGUUUCGCCUACAUCUAUGGCAUCAUCAGAGGUUGUGAGGUCUGUUGUGGGGUUUAUAGCAGGGCACUUGAUGAACUAACCUGGACACAUCAUAUUAUUUGAGAACACAGAAAUGAUGGACCACUCACAACCAGAAGCAUUCUCUCCUGAUGUUUCGCCCACAUCUAUGACAGGCAUCCUCAGAGGUCAUGAGGUCUGUUGGAAACUAGGCAAGUGGGGUUUAUAGCAUCACACUUGAUGAAACAACCUGGACACAGCAUAUUAUUUGAGAACACAGAAAUGAUGGACUACUCGAACAACCACCAUGUCAGACUACACAGAGAAGCCACUGAAACCUACAAGCAGGUGGACAAUUUCAACGGAAAGGAGGAAACCAUGAAAAUGAACAAAAUCUGGCUACAGAAAGCACGCUGAAAAAGGAUCCGGCUAUCCUUAAUACAUUGGCAGCUGAGGGGGGUUUGAUAUUUAGCUUGUCAGCCGCUUUAAAAAUAGAAAGAUAGACACUUAGCACAUGCCCAUUAUUAUCCUCUGCUGUUAUUACUGCACAUAUUUUGGAGCUGAGCCAUGGUACCAAGACCUGGAUGAGAUCCAGCUGGAAAGGGAGGAAAAGCAAUAGAGCUUGCACCAAACUUAUUUUUGCUGUCAUAUUCAUACUAGAAAAAGGGAGCUCAUUUGCUCCAAUAUUAACUAUGCAGUGUAACCAUCCCCGGCUUUUAUCUAAAGUUACAGGAACUGACCUAUAGUUUUCCAAAAUAGGCUCUAAUUUAAUGUUUAAUAGGCUUUUCUUUAAUCUCUCCUUAUUAUGCAACAUAUCUGCUUAUCCAACGUUCUGCCGGACCAUUUACGUUGGAUAACCGAGACUACUGUACUACUUUGGUUCAUACAAAGUGCUUAUAUUGUCUAUAUAAAGGCUAUAUGAUAUAUGCAGAGGCAAAGCUAUAUAGGCAAUAGUCUACUAUUUUCUGGCUUAUGGUCCCUACACCAGCUUGGUUGUAGCUGGGGCUAACAGCGGGUGCUCAUUCCUCCAAGGUCAUGUGGCCACUGGCAUGACUGCAUGGAGCGCCGUUACCUUCCCGCCGGAGCGGUACCUAUUGAUCUACUCACAUUGGCAUGUUUUCGAACUGCUAGGUUGGCAGAAGCUGGGGCUAACAGCGGGAGCUCAUUCCUCCAAUGUCAUGUGGCCACUGGCAUGACUGCAUGGAGUGCCGCUACCUUCCCGCCGGAGCAGUACCUAUUGAUCUACUCACAUUUGCAUGUUUUCGAAUUUCUAGGUUGGCAGAAGCUGGGGCUAACAGCAGGUGCUCAUUCCUCUCCCUGGAUUUGAACCUGCGACCUUUUGGUCCACAAGUUCAGCCGCUCAGCGCUUUAACACGCUGUGCCACCGCCCGCCACUCUGAAAAUCCCUAGAGGAGACAUAUUUUGUCAGAUGCAGGUAGAUGAAACUGUGGGCACAAGGGUCGUACUGUAGUUGCUUUUUGUUAUAUGUUUGACUCAGUUUUUAUUCCAUGUAAAUGUUACUCAAUAAAAAUGAUUUUUUUUUAGAAGCAAUAAGGAACCAAAGCUCUGUAGCAAGGAUGAAAGGGGCAUUGAUUUCAGAUGAGAGGUAACUGCGAAGGCGGAGGGGCACCAUCAAAGUUAACCCAGCGUGUGCUGAGAAUGCAGAUUCGCAGAGAGGGAAAUCUGUGACAUCAGCAGCUCGGCCUGGCCUCUCCUUUAAAAAUUGCUCUGCCUGUUUGAACAAGAGAGCCGGCCGAUUUCUUGGCGAGAGGAGUCAAGAUGCCACCAAAAAGACAAGGAAGAAAGGAAUGUGUGGAAGAUAAGAGCAGGUGAUGGAGUGCACGGCGCCGGCGCCGGCGGGGGUUUAAUCUCAGGUCUCCUUCUCCAGGCGACGCAGAGGGUAAUUUUUCUUGGAGAUGAAUGCUGUGCUCUGGCAGCCACCGUCUCCACGUGGCACAGAAUCAACAGGAGGAACAGCAGAAAAGGCCAUGAUAAGCCCGACCUCUGGAUCAAGGGGUUGGACAGACAACUGAAUUAACCACUGGGUUCAUUGCAGUGGUUGGAAUGCCUAUUUAAAACUGCUAUGUGCCUGUAAUGCAGCUAAAUGUAUAGAAAGUUGACCUGAAAGGAAUAAUAAUAAUCUAUCUAUAUAAAAGAGUGAUGGCAUCAGGGCAACCCGCAAAACAACAAAACUACAGGCCCCCCAACCUCGAAAUUUGACAACACAACCCAUCAUUAAUGGCUCUAGGUUGAUACAACAAAAAGAAAAGAAAAAUAAAGUCCUAAUUACACGGAGAGAAAUAAUAGUUUUUAUCCAAUUGCUGCCAGUUUGAAGGCUAAGCUCUACCCACUUGGUCUCCUAGCAACCUACUCAGCCCAGGGGACAGGCACAGUUAGGCCUCACUUAGGCCUCUUCCACAGAUUAUCAGAUUUUAACUGGAUUAUAUGGCAGUGUAGACUCAAGGCCCUUCCACACAGCUAUAUAACCCAUUUAUAAUCUUAUAUUAUUUAUUUAUUAUUUAUUUAUUUACAGUAUUUAUAUUCCACCCUUCUCACCCCGAAGGGGACUCAGGGCGGAUUACAAUGAACACAUAUAUGGUAAACAUUCAAUGCCAACAGACAAACAACAUAUAUAGACAGACUCAGAGGCAUUUUUAACAUUUUUUUCCAGCUUCACGAUUCCGGCCACAGGGGGAGCUGUUGCUUCACUGUCCACUAGUGGCUGUACUUCCUCAUUCCUUUCCUCGUGUUUUGCUGGCAGUUUUUUAUGAUGUUGUAAAUUAGUUAAAUUAGCCUCCCGCAUAAAGCGUACCUAAAUUUCCCUAAUUGACAGAUGCAACUGUCUUUCGGGGCUGCAUAGGUCAACAGCAAGGGUUAUUAUCUGCUUUGCACUGGAUUAUCUUGACUCCACACUGCCAUAUAAUCCACUUCAGUGUGCAUACUAAACAUAAAGACAACCACACAACAGACAUUCAAUACCACCACUACCUCAACAAUUUCUCACCAACACCACCAGACAACACCACAGCAACGCGUGGCCGGGCACAGCUAGUGAUUCUAUAUAAAAAUGUCAUGUACAUUUGUAGGACUGAGUAAACAACAAAACCACUGAACCAAAUCACACCAAAUUUGGCCACAAAAGACAGCCAACCAAUCUAUGUCUUUCAAACAAACAAAAAAACCCUGGAAAAUAAAGUCCAAAUUAGAGAAAGAGGAAGAGCUAUUUUCAACCCUGGUUGCUGAUCAGAAGGGUAGGCCCCGCCCCCUUUAGGCCCUGCCCACUUCAUCUCCUAGCAACCCCCUCGGUCACAAUGGCACCAGGGUACAGCCAGAGUUCAGGCUUUUUAGGCUGCAAGGCUAUUCAUUACUAUUCCACUCGGCCAACAAAGCAUUCCCAUAAGCCACAGCAAUGCGUGGCCGGGCACAGUUAAUAAUAAUAAUAAUAAUAAUAAUAAUAAUAAUAAUAAUAAUAAUAAUAAUAGAUCUGUCAACUGCAAAAGGCCACCCUACUGGGAUCUGCGCGCAUCAUCCAAAAAUACAUCACACAGUCCUAGACACUUGGGAAGUGUUCGACUUGUGAUUUUGUGAAACGAAAUACAGCAUAUCUAUCUUGUUUGCUGUGUCAUACAAUAUAAUAAUAAUAAUAAUAAUAAUAAUAAUAAUAAUAAUAAUAAUAAUAAUAAAAAACAAGAAAAACUCAGCCGCUAUCAGGACCUCAAAAUUGAACUGCAAAGAUUGAACUGCGGGCCCGGGCUGUGGCGCAGGCAGGAGAGCAAGCCAGCUGCAACCAGCUGCAAUGAAUCACUCUGACCAGGAGGUCAUGAGUUCGAGGCCCGCUCGGAGCCUAUGUUUGUCUUGUCUUUGUUCUAUGUUAAAGGCAUUGAAUGUUUGCCUAUAUGUGUAAUGUGGUCUGCCCUGAGUCCCCUUCGGAGUGAGAAGGGCAGAAUAUAAAUGCUGUAAAUAAAUAAAUAAUAAAUAAAGACUUUGGUAGAAACCAGUACAGGUGGUCCUGGUGGUGAUGGGCACAUUGGGUGCCGUGUCAAAAGAUCUCAGCCAGCAUUUGGAAACAAUAGACAUUGACAAAAUUACAAUCUGCCAACUGCAAAAGGCCACCCGACUGAAAUCUGCGCGCAUCAUCCGAAAAUACAUCACAGAGUCCUAAACGCUUGGGAAGUGUUCGACUUGUGAUUUUGUGAUACAAAAUCCAGCAUAUCUAUCUUGUUUGCUGUGUCAUACAAUGUCGUUGUGUCAAUAAUAAUAAUAAUAAUAAUAAUAAUAAUAAUAAUAAUAGGAAGUGUCCGAGGUGUGAUCCAAUACAACAGCCAGCAGAGUGUCUGUUGUGGACUCAUCUUGUUGGGAUGCCUUAGCAUUGAACGGUUGUGUUGUUAAAGUGCGCAGUAUGGAACCCUGCGCAGACGGGGAAGCCUUAGCAUUGAACAGUUGUGUUGUUAAAGUGUGAAGUAGGGAACCCAGCAUAUCUAUCUUGUUUGCUGUGUCAUACAAUGUCGUUGUGUCAUUAAUAAUAAUAAUAAUAAUAAUAAUAAUAAUAAUAAUAAUAAAAACUUUACUUCUAGACUGCCCUCUAUUCCCAGAGGGACUCAGGGUGGUUAACAUACAUAUAAACGGCAAACUUUCAAUGCCACGACUACUUCACUAAUAUCAAAAGUAUAAAAUGACAAUAACAUACACGUUUUCAUAAAAAUCCCACAUUAAAAAAAUAUAUAUAUUUAAACAGUCAGUAAAAAUAUUAUUGCACAGAGCGAGUGUAUACCUGGACCGAUUUAAGUGACCAAGUUGCUGAAAAUGUUCAGUCACUUGGACCAUAGCUGCUAUGGAGUGGGACUGAGAGUAGGGCCUCCUCCGCUGACCGAAGUGCCCGAGAUGGUCGAUACAGGGAGAUGCGAUUUGACAAAUAGCCUGGACCUGAGCUGUUUAGGGCUUUAUAGGUAACAACCAGCUCUUUGUAUUUAGCUCAGAAACAGACCGGCAGCCAGUGGAGCUGCUGCAGCAUGGGAGUGGUUCUCUCCCUGUUAGUACCUGGCUGCCGAUCGCUGAACUAGCUGUAGUUUCCAAACUAUCUUCAAAGGAAUCGUUUUAAAAAUAAAAUGAUGUGGGUGGGGGAAAGGAAUCGAAUGAAGGCGGGGAGAGAGAGAGAGAGAGAAGCUUCAGGAGGCUUUUCCUUUGAAUGAUCUUGAACCUUGCAACCAUCCUGACGGUAACUCUUCUUUCCUCCUGGCACGGCUGGCUGAGCGUAUGUCAGGCGUAAUUGCCAGCUGCACUCGUUGGGGGGUAAUUUAGCUCAAGCAGCAACUGCAUCUUUACACCGUGGGGUUGUAUUGUGAUGCAGGCUUUUGUUUCUGAUUUCUCCAGCAGUUUGCUGCCAGGAAAAGAGGUGGGCAGCAGCAGAGAUGGAAGAGAGAAGUGUCUGCUUUGGUUCAUAGUGGAUUCCUCUUCUCUGAAAGCCCGAAUGCUGCUUUGGAAAUCUUCAAACAUGUGUGCAUACUGUUAAUGUGGGAUUUGUGUUUAUAGUGUUUAAAUGCAAUUUGUGCCAUGCUUGUAUUGCAACUGAUUGCAUCAUCCAGAAUGUACCAUAGUGUGGAAAGAGUUAAUUGCCAAGAAGCUAUGAUGAACUUGAUGUGUGGCUGGAACUAGGGAGUAUCCAGACACAAGUGUUUGUGCAUAACGAUUGCAUCAGUUCAGUUCAAUUCAGUUGAGUUCUGUCUGCCUAGAGUUCGAGUCAAGUUCUGUUGGAGAACAGAACAGUCCUGUGUUCAUCUGUCGUCUGCAAGUCUGUUUGUGUUGAAUACUGCUGCAUACAGUAAAACUUUGUAAAUAGUUUUA